AUGUGGACCGAUGAUCUUAAAGUCUCUGUUCAUAGUACUGCUUUCCACUACAUAUUAGCUAAAGUAGUUCAUGUAGCUUCGGGGGUCAGCUUUUGUUUGAUUUGUAUAUAUGGUGACCCGUACCAUAGGCAAACUAGUGCCAUCUGGGAUCAAGUUUCUACUUUUGUGUAUGAUAAUCUAGGUAUCCCCAUGAUGUGUUUGGGGGACUUGAAUGACAUCCUGUAUGAUAUUGAUGGUUGUAAUGGCUAUGUGAAUUACUAUCGUAUGCAUGCUUUCCGUUCCCUUGUCAAAAAUUGUGGUUUGUUUGAUAUUGGUUAUUGUGGUCCAGCCUAUACUUGGCGCGGUAGACAACACACUUCUAAUCCUAUUUAUAGACGCCUUGACCGUUGUUUAGUUAAUUCUGAGUGGUGCAUGCAUUACCCUAAUACCAAAGUUCUUAAUCUGCCUAUUAUUUUGAGUGAUCAUGCCCCCAAUUUGGUGUCUACUGAAGGUAAUUUUGUCAAGCCUCGGCAAACUUUCAAAUUUGAAAAUUGGUGGUUGAUGGAGAAAGAUUUUCAUGCCUUUGCUAAAUCUGCCUGGAAUGCU
rnacentral:rRNA from 1 species